GUUGACGCAGACUUGGAGAACCAUAUAGUUUUCACGCCACGUGAUAGCUAUGCGGAAAACAUAGGAGUGCUGCAAAAACUUUUCGAUAAAGUGCAGCUCUCACUAAUUAAGGCACAUUCUCGAAAUAGCACUACUUACGAUCUUCGCCGCAAAAAUGUAGAAUUUAAUGUUGGUGACAUUGUUUGGAAAAGAACGUUUUAUCAAAGCGAUAAAGACAAUAAAUUUUCAAAAAAACUAGCUCCUAAAUUUAUUAAAUGUCGUAUAAUAGCAAAGAAAUCGAAAUUAGUCUAUGAUCUUCAAGAUAUGACAGGUCACAAUAUAGGGACUUGGCACGUUAAAGAUUUUAAGCUAACCUAGUAGUUAGCUGGAUUUUCUAAGAAAAAUCCUAACCUAAAAAGGGGGGUAUGUAACGCUUCGUUACACUAUUCUUAAAAACUAAAAUCGAAAUUAUUAAAAACAAUAAAGAAAACAAUAAUAUACAAUUAAAUCAGAAAAAUACUAACAUUUAAUAAAUUAUAAUAUUUAUAGAAAGAACUGUUUUUGUAAGCAAACUGCGCGAUACCAUUGUUAUUAUAUCUUUGGAGCGAACGAACGAACGCCGAAUGAUUCAAGGCGCGGCGAAUGCUCGCAGCGAUCGCGAAUCCAUCACUGUGUCUCGCGAAACAUCCGUACGCAGACACGUACCACUUUAACUGCAGAUUUUUUAAAUAUAAGGUUUACGAACUCGUGAAGUUUUUACACCUCAGAAUCUAAUUAAGUCUGUGUACGUCACCCCGAUAACGGGGAUCCAGUACCGGAUUUCGAUUGCUGCUCCCGGCUCACUCUCCAUAAUCAGGCUUACGGCGGAGGUGAUUGCUGCAUUUUUGUCGUCGGACUACCCUACGAUAUCACAACUUCGUGACCCCAACUUCGUGUCAACGCUUCUCCACGGAUAAAAGGGCAGUGGUUUUGAUUGAGCUUAAGACUGGUGAUUCUUCGCGUUGCAAUUGUUUAUCCACUCCCUGAAGAGUCGUAAUUAAACCUUUUUGUUAAAUUUAAAA